AGAGGAAAGAAAAGUUGCAAUUGAUUGACAACCAAAAAGCUAAUUGGAGUAAAAGAUUCAUCCUUAUCAAUGCACGUAUUGGUGUCAACUGUUGUAUCAACUCUAAAUAAAAUGUUAUUCAUCCGUCCUUUUAAUUCAAUUCUGUUCAUAACAUCAUAAUUGACCCCCUAAAUUAUACCAAAUGGCAAGCAAAGGAAAGAGCUUAUACUAUUUAGAGACUUGUCAUAGAUUCUAAAAAUAUUACCUAUAUUCGGUGAUGAUUGAGAUUUGACACAAAGGAGCUCUUGUCGCUUUCCCUCCCAAAGCAUAGAGGGGAGAUUAUACACUUACCCUGGGGGUAAGAUGAGUAGACAUACCCUGCAAUCAGGGUUUGACAAGUAAGCAACUUAAAAAUAGGGUUAGGGGGGAAAAUGAAUGUUUUAAGGGGGGGAAAUUUUCAGUUUUUGCGCCGCGUAUGUCUUCUUCGGCGGGCUUCUAAGCGCCCUAUUUCCUUCCCAAAAUUAUACCGCCCAAAUUUCGUCUUGGAAAAUUAAAAAAAAAAAAAAAAAAUCCAGGUUUACAGCAACUACAGAUUUAAAGCUUUCUUCUUCAUUGUCUCAAGCGCAAUGGUUAGUAUAGACCUUAAUGGUGAACCAGAGGCCGUUGAUGGAACUAUUGUGAAUUCUACUCCGUCGAACCCCCCUGUUGAAGAAAUGUCGUUUCAUUCCGGUCACGAAUGUAGUUUUUUAAUUACAUGGACUGUGAAAUGAGAAACGAUGACGUUCAAGCUUCCAUGGUGUGUGUCCCAUACAUCUGCGAAACUACGACUUCGAACGAUGUUGCUAUAGAGCCUACACUCAACCAUGAGGAACUACUAGACGUUACAGACAUCGACAUUGAACAGCUUGAUCAAUUGAAUAUGUUGAUGGAUUCAUUUACUAACACGGAUAAGGAUCAACUCGAUACUGGAUGUUCUUAACCUACUAUACUAACGACUAAUGGGAAUUAAUGUUGUAAGGUAGAAAACAUUAAACGUCUUGUAUUUUGUCUACAACUAGGUGCAAUGGUAUUUAUAGUAUUAUGCAA